UACGUAGGGUGCGAGCGUUGUCCGGAAUUACUGGGCGUAAAGAGCUCGUAGGUGGUUUGUCGCGUUGUUCGUGAAAACCGAAGGCUUAACCUUUGGCGUGCGGGCGAUACGGGCAGACUGGAGUACUGCAGGGGAGACUGGAAUUCCUGGUGUAGCGGUGGAAUGCGCAGAUAUCAGGAGGAACACCGGUGGCGAAGGCGGGUCUCUGGGCAGUAACUGACGCUGAGGAGCGAAAGCGUGGGGAGCGAACAGG
rnacentral:rRNA from 1 species